CCCUGAGUGGCUCAGAGGUUAGGGCGUCAGCCUCCAAUGUGGGAGACCCAGGUUUGAUCCCUGGGUCAGGAA
rnacentral:tRNA from 1 species